GGGGUUGUGGCUCAAUGGUAGAGCACUCAUCUAGUAUGUGUGAGGCACUGGAUCCGAUCCUCAGCACCA
rnacentral:tRNA from 1 species